CAGACCGGCAAAAGAGCAGAACACUCCAGACACCUACGCAAGAGAAGCCACCUGAGAAACUGCACUGAAGAAAGAAAAGGAGUACUUGUGGCACCUUAGAGACUAACCAAUUUAUUUGAGCAUAAGCUUUCAUGAGCUACAGCUCACUUCAUAGCUGCUUGAAAGCCAGCAACUGUAACAGCAGCAGCCGUCCACCCCAAGACUCCCAGGUUGCCUUGGCAAUAGCUGGUUUUGGCACCCCUCCUGCAAGAGGCCUCCAUGGCAGCCCAGCAGGGCUACCAUCUCCACCUGAGGCUCUGUUUUACCUCCGGCUGAAACAGAAGUGAACAGCCCAGCUGCCAACAGCCCACCUAGGGACAACACUCUCAAAAAGACUCGUCAGAGAAGGAAGGACCAUUUGUGAUGAUUCAGAGGGAAUUUAAAGACGCUUCUGGAUUGGCUCGUUUUUGGCUUGUUUUGAAACGUAGUGCAGCUUUAUUAUCUUGUGAGACUUGGCUUACUCAUUGGAGUGAGAGGAAGGUGCACUGGAGUGAAA